rnacentral:misc_RNA from 1 species
AAGUCGUAACAAGGUCUCCGUAGGUGAACCUGCGGAGGGAUCAUUACCGAGUGGAGGGCGCUCCGGCGCCCGACCUCCCAACCCUUUGAUUUGAUCAAGACCUCCUUCUGCCUCGGGGCGGACCCGGCCCCCGUGCCGGCGUCCCCCCGGCGGCGCCUCAUAACCCUGCAUCAAUUGUCGUCGGAUCAUGAAGUUAAUUCAAUCAAAACUUUCAACAACGGAUCUCUUGGUUCUG